GUGGACUGAAUCGUUACAGAUUCUGACGGCACCCAUUCACUGCAGAGGAUCCACUGGGGAGUAAUUGAUUAUGCAUCCUGUCCCUGACCCCCAAGCACUGACAUUAGGUUCUAAUCUCCUCCUCCUGUCAGACGAGCCGUGAAGAUCUGAUGAGAUCAGGCGUUGCGUGGUACUGGAUCAAGCUUCACAGUCUCCCGAGGGAUUCCCAUCAUCUCAGAUCUUCCAUUCCACAGUGUAAUCGGUCACUUGAAAAAUCAGGCACUGGAGAAAGUAAUGUGAAUCAUUGGCCCCUGAAGAUAUACCUGAGAGCAGUACGGGGAGUUUGAGAUGCUCAAGUCUGUGUCAGCGGUCUAUUUGGCGAAAGUCCUUCAGCACUUGAGAUGUCAAUGUUUAUAGAUGAGGCCAACCGAAUUAUAGCAGCAGUUGAAGAAUGAUUGAAAACCUUGUCAGUUGUCUCCGUUAACUGAAAUAUGUCACA